CUUCGGGACGCAGGAGGCUAUACAAUGGGGGCCAAUGGAUAUGGUCUCCUCCAAAGGCGUAGUAAGUCUGGGUUGGCAAAUCCGCCCGGGCGUUAAAAAAUGAGGCCGAGUAAGGAAGAUUCCACGGAAUCAACAUUGUAGACGCCAUGCUGCCGAGAAAAGCGGCGAAAGCCAGAUUAACGGGUGCUCGUACCCGAAACCGACACAGGUAGUCAGGUAGAGUAUACCAAGGUGCGCGAGAUAACUCUCUCUAAGGAACUCGGCAAAUUAACCUCGUAACUUCGGAAGAAGAGGUGCCAUGUUAGGGUGUAGCACCACGCGUGUGAAGCCUGAGAUGGUUGCAAAAAAUAGGCUCAAGCGACUGUUUAACAAAAACACAGGUCUCUGCAAAACCGUAAGGUGAAGUAUAGGGGCUGACGCGUGCCCAGUGCCGGAAGGUUAAGUGGAGCGGUUAGCGUAAGCGAAGCUGCGAAACAAAGCCCCGGUGAACGGCGGCCGUAACUAUAACGGUCCUAAGGUAGCGAAAUUCCUUGUCGGGUAAGUUCCGACCCGCACGAAACGCGUAACGAUUUGAGCACUGUCUCGGAGAGAGGCUCGGCGAAAUAGGAGUGUCUGUGAAGAUACGGACUAGGCGUGCCAGGACAGAAAGACCCUAUUGAGCUUUACUGUAGGCUGAAAUUGUCCGCGGGUUAUGUUUGCGCAGGAUAGGUGGGAGACAUUGAAGCAUGGAUUUUGGUCCGUGUGGAGUCAACGUUGAGAUACCACUCUGAUGUAGCUAGCGUACUAACCCCGUUCCAUGAAUCUGGGCGGGGAACAGAUUCAGUUGGGCAGUUUGACUGGGGCGGUCGCCUCCUAAACAGUAACGGAGGCGCUCAAAGGUUUCCUCAGGCUGGUCGGAAAUCAGCCAUCGAGUGUAAAGGCAGAAGGAAGCUUAACUGAAAGAGAGACAUCUCACUCAGAUACGAGAGUAGGACUUAGUGAUCCCACGGUUCCGCAUGGAAGGGCCGUUGCUCAUCGGAUAAAAGUUACCAUAGGGAUAACAGCCUGAUCUCCCCCAAGAGUCCACAUCGACGGGGAGGUUUGGCACCUCGAUGUCGGCUCAUCGCAUCCUGGGGCGGUAGUACGUCCCAAGGGUUGGGCUGUUCGCCCAUUAAAGCGGUACGUGAGCAGGGUUCAGAACGUCGUGAGACAGUUCGGUCCAUAUCCGGCAUGCCCGUAGGAUUCUUGAGCGGAGCCGUCCCUAGUACGAGAGGACCAGGACGGACGAACCUCCAGUGUACCUGUUAUCACGCCAGUGGUAAACGCAGGGUAGCUGUGUUCGGAGCGGAUAAUUGCUGAAAGCAUAUAAGUACGAAGCCCACC
rnacentral:rRNA from 1 species